GUCCGCAUAGCUCAGUGGUAGAGCAUUGUACUUAUGUGGUUACCAAACACCCGUGGCACUUCACGUGAUAUGCAAGGGUCUCCAGUUCGAUCCUGGGUGUGGACA
rfam:Cylindrobasidium torrendii FP15055 ss-10 unplaced genomic scaffold CYLTOscaffold_306, whole genome shotgun sequence.